AGCGUACACGGUGGAUGCCCUGGCAGUCAGAGGCGAUGAAGGACGUGCUAAUCUGCGAAAAGCGUCGGUAAGGUGAUAUGAACCGUUACAGCCGGCGAUGUCCGAAUGGGGAAACCCAGUGCAAUUCGUUGCACUAUCGUUAACUGAAUACAUAGGUUAACGAGGCGAACCGGGGGAACUGAAACAUCUAAGUACCCCGAGGAAAAGAAAUCAACCGAGAUUCCCCCAGUAGCGGCGAGCGAACGGGGAGCAGCCCAGAGUCUGAAUCAGCUUGUGUGUUAGUGGAACGGUCUGGAAAGUCCGACGGUACAGGGUGAUAGUCCCGUACACCAAAAUGCACAGGCUGUGAACUCGAAGAGUAGGGCGGGACACGUGGUAUCCUGUCUGAAUAUGGGGGGACCAUCCUCCAAGGCUAAAUACUCCUGACUGACCGAUAGUGAACCAGUACCGUGAGGGAAAGGCGAAAAGAACCCCGGCGAGGGGAGUGAAAAAGAACCUGAAACCGUGUACGUACAAGCAGUGGGAGCACCUUCGGGUGUGACUGCGUACCUUUUGUAUAAUGGGUCAGCGACUUAUAUUCUGUAGCAAGGUUAACCGUAUAGGGGAGCCGCAGGGAAACCGAGUCUUAACUGGGCGUUAAGUUGCAGGGUAUAGACCCGAAACCCGGUGAUCUAGCCAUGGGCAGGUUGAAGGUUGGGUAACACUAACUGGAGGACCGAACCGACUAAUGUUGAAAAAUUAGCGGAUGACUUGUGGCUGGGGGUGAAAGGCCAAUCAAACCGGGAGAUAGCUGGUUCUCCCCGAAAGCUAUUUAGGUAGCGCCUCGUGAACUCAUCUUCGGGGGUAGAGCACUGUUUCGGCUAGGGGGUCAUCCCGACUUACCAACCCGAUGCAAACUACGAAUACCGAAGAAUGUUAUCACGGGAGACACACGGCGGGUGCUAACGUCCGUCGUGAAGAGGGAAACAACCCAGACCGCCAGCUAAGGUCCCAAAGUCACAGUUAAGUGGGAAACGAUGUGGGAAGGCACAGACAGCCAGGAUGUUGGCUUAGAAGCAGCCAUCAUUUAAAGAAAGCGUAAUAGCUCACUGGUCGAGUCGGCCUGCGCGGAAGAUGUAACGGGGCUAAACUGUGCACCGAAGCUGCGGCAGCGACACUAUGUGUUGUUGGGUAGGGGAGCGUUCUGUAAGCCUGCGAAGGUGGCCUGUGAGGGUUGCUGGAGGUAUCAGAAGUGCGAAUGCUGACAUAAGUAACGAUAAUGCGGGUGAAAAGCCCGCACGCCGGAAGACCAAGGGUUCCUGUCCAACGUUAAUCGGGGCAGGGUGAGUCGACCCCUAAGGCGAGGCCGAAAGGCGUAGUCGAUGGGAAACAGGUUAAUAUUCCUGUACUUGGUGUUACUGCGAAGGGGGGACGGAGAAGGCUAUGUUAGCCGGGCGACGGUUGUCCCGGUUUAAGCAUGUAGGCGGAGGUUCCAGGUAAAUCCGGUACCUUUUUAACGCUGAGGUGUGAUGACGAGGCACUACGGUGCUGAAGUAACAAAUGCCCUGCUUCCAGGAAAAGCCUCUAAGCAUCAGGUAACAUUAAAUCGUACCCCAAACCGACACAGGUGGUCAGGUAGAGAAUACCAAGGCGCUUGAGAGAACUCGGGUGAAGGAACUAGGCAAAAUGGUGCCGUAACUUCGGGAGAAGGCACGCUGAUAUGUAGGUGAAGCCCCUGCGGGUGGAGCUGAAAUCAGUCGAAGAUACCAGCUGGCUGCAACUGUUUAUUAAAAACACAGCACUGUGCAAACACGAAAGUGGACGUAUACGGUGUGACGCCUGCCCGGUGCCGGAAGGUUAAUUGAUGGGGUUAUCCGUAAGGAGAAGCUCUUGAUCGAAGCCCCGGUAAACGGCGGCCGUAACUAUAACGGUCCUAAGGUAGCGAAAUUCCUUGUCGGGUAAGUUCCGACCUGCACGAAUGGCGUAAUGAUGGCCAGGCUGUCUCCACCCGAGACUCAGUGAAAUUGAACUCGCUGUGAAGAUGCAGUGUACCCGCGGCAAGACGGAAAGACCCCGUGAACCUUUACUAUAGCUUGACACUGAACAUUGAGCCUUGAUGUGUAGGAUAGGUGGGAGGCUUUGAAGCGUGGACGCCAGUCUGCGUGGAGCCAACCUUGAAAUACCACCCUUUAAUGUUUGAUGUUCUAACGUUGGCCCCUUAUCGGGGUUGCGGACAGUGUCUGGUGGGUAGUUUGACUGGGGCGGUCUCCUCCCAAAGAGUAACGGAGGAGCACGAAGGUUAGCUAAUCCUGGUCGGACAUCAGGAGGUUAGUGCAAUGGCAUAAGCUAGCUUGACUGCGAGCGUGACGGCGCGAGCAGGUGCGAAAGCAGGUCAUAGUGAUCCGGUGGUUCUGAAUGGAAGGGCCAUCGCUCAACGGAUAAAAGGUACUCCGGGGAUAACAGGCUGAUACCGCCCAAGAGUUCAUAUCGACGGCGGUGUUUGGCACCUCGAUGUCGGCUCAUCACAUCCUGGGGCUGAAGUAGGUCCCAAGGGUAUGGCUGUUCGCCAUUUAAAGUGGUACGCGAGCUGGGUUUAGAACGUCGUGAGACAGUUCGGUCCCUAUCUGCCGUGGGCGCUGGAGAAUUGAGGGGGGCUGCUCCUAGUACGAGAGGACCGGAGUGGACGCAUCACUGGUGUUCGGGUUGUCAUGCCAAUGGCAUUGCCCGGUAGCUAAAUGCGGAAGAGAUAAGUGCUGAAAGCAUCUAAGCACGAAACUUGCCCCGAGAUGAGUUCU
rnacentral:rRNA from 1 species